UACGGAAGGCAGCAGUGGGGAAUAUUGCACAAUGGGCGAAAGCCUGAUGCAGCUAUGCCGCGUGUAUGAAGAAGGCCUUAGGGUUGUAAAGUACUUUCAUCGGGGAGGAAAAACAAAACUAAUAAUUUUAUUUCUUGACGUUACCCGAAAAAGAAGCACCGGCUAACUCCGUGCCAGCAGCCGCGGUAAUACGGAGGGUGCUAGCGUUAAUCAGAAUUACUGGGCGUAAAGAGCACGUAGGUGGUUUUUUUAAGUCAGAUGUGAAUCCCUGGGCUUAACCUAGGAACUGCAUUUUGAAACUGAAAUACUAGAGUAUCGUAGAGGGAGGUAGAAUUCUAGGUGUAGCGGUGAAAUGCGUAGAUAUCUGGAGGAAUACCUGUGGCGAAAGCGGCCUCCUAAACGAAUACUGACACUGAGGUGCGAAAGCGUGGGGAGCAAACGAGGGAUUAGAUACC
rnacentral:rRNA from 1 species